CAUGAGUUUAAUAUAUUAAACUCAUAAAUUGGUAUUAGACCAUGUACGGGGCUUGACGCUUGCCUAGUGCCAUAUGGUCAAGGAACUUGGUGACAUAUUGACAAGGGAGCCGGCAACUGAAGCCCUUGUGAAAGCGACCGUAACUAUAAUGAUCAUAAAGUAACGAAAUUUCUUAUCGGGUAAGUUCUGACCCGCACAACAAACGUAAUG
rnacentral:rRNA from 1 species